UACGUAGGGUGCAAGCGUUGUCCGGAAUUAUUGGGCGUAAAGAGCUCGUAGGCGCCUGUCGCGUCAAUUGUGAAAGCCCGGGGCUUAACCCCGGGUCUGCAGUCGAUACGGGCAGGCUAGAGUGUGGUAGGGGAGAUCGGAAUUCCUGGUGUAGCGGUGAAAUGCGUAGAUAUCUGGAGGAACACCGGUGGCGAAGGCGACAUCCUGGACCGGUAUUGACGCUGAGGCGCGAAAGCCAGGGGAGCAAACGGG
rnacentral:rRNA from 1 species